AUUGAACGCUGGCGGCAGGCCUAACACAUGCAAGUCGAGCGAGCGGCGGAAGGGUGAGUAAUGUCUGGGAAACUGCCUGAUGGAGGGGGAUAACUACUGGAAACGGUAGCUAAUACCGCAUACCAUCAGAUGUGCCCAGAUGGGAUUAGCUAGUAUGUGGGGUAACGGCUCACCUAGGCGACGAUCCCUAGCUGGUCUGAGAGGAUGACCAGGCACACUGAGAGGGAGACACGGUCCAGACUCGUACGGUAGGCGGCAGGGGGGAAUAUGGCACUAUGGGCGCUAGCCUGAUGCAGCCAUGCCGCGUGUGUUAAGAAGGCCUUCGGGUUGUAAAGCACUUUCAGCGGGGAGGCGUUACCCGCAGAAGAAGCACCGGCUAACUCCGUGCCAGCCGCCGCGGUAAUUC
rnacentral:rRNA from 1 species